UCUGAAACGAGGAUCUUGCC
rnacentral:misc_RNA from 1 species